UAAAAAUGUCAGAUGCCAUCUAUAUAGUUGGAUGACCUAUUGUGUCACCCAAUACUUUUUGUUGAAGAAGCCCUAUCAUUCUCUAGGGUACAUGGAAAAUGUACAAAUUAAAAGCUAGGGUCGACCUCUGCCUGAUAUCAGCUUAAUGAGGAAGGAUGAAAACGUGAGGGCGUUCAAUACCAACUGGUAUCAAACGUAUAGUUAGUUGGUUAACCAAGUCGCCUGGAUUGCUGGCCUUGCCUGCUUUUUGGAAAUACUGCACCUUGGUCGAAAGGUGGGUACAGUAACCUGAAGAACAUCGAUCAUUCAGCUAAACUGCAAAACAAAUGUAGGCAUAUAAAUGCCCACAUCAGAUUCAAGUUUCUGGGAAAAAAGCUGCAUCGAUCAUGACGAAGGUCUGCGUUUUCAAACCGCUACCAAGCUGCUUAUCAACACCACGGCGUUUUUGGGCAUGCAAUCAUUUGCUUUUAGAGGACAUGACGAGAGGAAAAGCACUGCCAACAAGGGCAACUAUACAAGGAGCUUGCAGAGCUAACUCUCCUCCUGUUCCCUGAUUUUAAGAGGUGAUGACUACUCCACUCCACUACCAUUGUCAACUUUCUUCUUACAUUAACUGAAGCCACGUCUCAGUCAAAUCCUGCCCGGCACUUGUCAAGCCUCGGCCUCGGCUCAUGCCUCGGCUCAUGCCUCGGCUCAUGCCUCGGCUCAUGCCUCGGCUCAUGCCUCAUACCCUCAUUCAAUCACUGCUGUGAUCCCUUUCCAACACUUGCAUUCCGAGCCUAUGCCGUGGGUCUCCCAUCCUCCUCAAUUAUUCAAGUCACCAGUCUCCAAUGGUCUUCACUAUUAUUCUACAAUGUAGAAAAUAGUAAAAAUAAAGAAAAUUCCUUGAAUGGG